AUUGAACGCUGGCGGAAUGCUUUACACAUGCAAGUCGAGCGGCAGCGCGGGGCAACCUGGCGGCGAGCGGCGAACGGGUGAGUAAUGCAUCGGAACAUGUCCAUGUCGUGGGGGAUAGCCCGGCGAAAGCCGGAUUAAUACCGCAUACGCCCGAGAGGGGAAAGCAGGGGACCGCAAGGCCUUGCGCGAUUGGGUUGGCCGAUGUCCGAUUAGCUUGUUGGUGAGGUAAAGGCUUACCAAGGCGAUGAUCGGUAGCUGGUCUGAGAGGAUGAUCAGCCACACUGGGACUGAGACACGGCCCAGACUCCUACGGGAGGCAGCAGUGGGGAAUUUUGGACAAUGGGGGCAACCCUGAUCCAGCCAUUCCGCGUGAGUGAAGAAGGCCUUC
rnacentral:rRNA from 1 species